AUGGCGGCCGAAUCCGACACUAAGCAAAAGAUAGAUUGCUGGAAUCUGAAGAAAACUUACAGCGGAAUCACCUCUCGAACUUGCAACAGGAUCUAUCUUCCCCGGGUGAAGAAGAAGAGAAGCCGCCUCCGCCACAAGCUUAGCCCCACCGUUAUCCUGCGCAACUGCUACUUAUCGACCCCCAGAAGUACUGUAGUAAGUAGCCGCCGUGGACGCAAGCAUCGCACUACAGGCCUCCGCGGUUACCGCUCUCCGCUCUCUGAUUGCGUGACGGCUUCUUCAACCGCCGGUAGAAUCCAAAAUGAGGAAAGAGUAAAAUGCACCGGCGGUACUUGA
rnacentral:rRNA from 1 species